UAGGGAAUCUUCGGCAAUGGACGGAAGUCUGACCGAGCAACGCCGCGUGAGUGAAGAGGGUUUUCGGAUCGUAAAGCUCUGUUGUAAGAGAAGAACGAGUGUGAGAGUGGAAAGUUCACACUGUGACGGUAUCUUACCAGAAAGGGACGGCUAACUACGUGCCAGCAGCCGCGGUAAUACGUAGGUCCCGAGCGUUGUCCGGAUUUAUUGGGCGUAAAGCGAGCGCAGGCGGUUAGAUAAGUCUGAAGUUAAAGGCUGUGGCUUAACCAUAGUAGGCUUUGGAAACUGUUUAACUUGAGUGCAAGAGGGGAGAGUGGAAUUCCAUGUGUAGCGGUGAAAUGCGUAGAUAUAUGGAGGAACACCGGUGGCGAAAGCGGCUCUCUGGCUUGUAACUGACGCUGAGGCUCGAAAGCGUGGGGAGCAAACAGGAUUAGAUACCCUGGUAGUCCACGCUGUAAACGAUGAGUGCUAGGUGUUAGACCCUUUCCGGGGUUUAGUGCCGUAGCUAACGCAUUAAGUACUCCGCCUGGGGAGUACGACCGCAAGGUUG
rnacentral:rRNA from 1 species